UACAGAGGGUGCGAGCGUUAAUCGGAAUUACUGGGCGUAAAGCGCGUGUAGGCGGCUCUGCAAGUCGGGUGUGAAAUCCCACGGCUCAACCAUGGAAGUGCACUCGAAACUGCAGGGCUAGAGUCCUGGAGGGGAAGGUGGAAUGCUUGGUGUAGAGGUGAAAUUCGUAGAUAUCAAGCGGAACACCGGUGGCGAAGGCGGCCUUCUGGACAGAUACCGACGCUGAGGCACGAAAGCUAGGGGAGCAAACAGG
rnacentral:rRNA from 1 species